ACAUGACCUACACCCGCAGAUGUGCUCCCCGUGCUCGCGGCACCACACCAAGUGCUAGAGGACCACAGAGCCUACCCUCCGUGCUGGCCGUAGAAGCAAGAGACGACCAAAAAAGCACCUGCUCCAUCAACUCUUAAACCCCAAAGGCUCAAGAGGCUUAAAGUGGUAGUGAAGCCACAAGCUCCUGGAAGAGGCUAGGGAUACCCAACCAAACCCCUGGGAGCAGCGGAGCGGACCGGCCAAGGGGAAAGGCAGCGCUCCAGACCCCGUCCGCACUGGGCGCCGCCCUGGCGGGCAAGCGCGGAGCUGCAGGGCGGAGCGGAGCGAGACGUGGGCGCCGCGCUGAAGACGAACCUCCCGGGCGGCCCCGGGGCGCAGCGGGGCCCAGCAUACGGGGGAAGCCGCGGGGCGCUACCGGGUAGCAGCUCCCGGGCCGCCCCGCCCUGAGCGUAAAGCCCCAGCCCACAGCCCCUUGGGCUGGGUCCGCCACGCUCGCGUCCCCGCCCGCGGCCUCCCCCCGCCCCAGCGCCGGGCGCCCCUUACCCGGCGGGCGGCGGCAGCGCGGGAGGCGGGGCCCGGGUCACGCGGACGGCGAGAGACGCGAGACAAACGUCCGCGGAAGGCGCUCGCCGUGGGCGGGGUGGAGGUUACAAGCGGCGCAUUGCCCUGAAGGCGGCAUCCCGGGCGGGUCUCCUGGCCUGGGGCACACGGCUCUGCGGGAAAACACGGGCCGAGGAGCUGCCCCGGCCCGGGGGCUCUUCACUUUUUCGUGAGGACCGGCGGGGGCCGGCUCCCGCCUCGAAACAAGCCUCAGGUCCGCUGCCUCCGCCCGCAGUGCGGCUUUGCGCUUACCGGGGAAGGAGCACCCUCCCGGCAGGGACUGCUGCAAGGGCCGGGUCGAUCCUACUUCUUCUGCAGCCUUUGGAAAGCUGCGGCCGUGGUGGGGCUGUGCUGAGAAGCCUUGCAGGCGCCUCCAUGGAUGUGGCAAACUGUCUUCAUAGAUGAUCUCUGCCUGCCUUGGGAGAUCCAUAGAGAGCCCUGCAAGGCCUGUAUCCCGCACACCUGAUUGCACCCACAGACUGACUCCGCAUGUCAACCCUACACUGGAUUUAGCCUGUGGUCUGGCCUCACACCGCUCAUCAGCAGGAUCAUCCAUGUGUCCAGAAGUUUGAGCACUACUAUAUUGCAACAGUAUGAUUUCAUCUGGAAAUUCCUAAUCAGGUUGUUUAUUUCAAACCUACUGAGAGCCCAUAUUUUCUAUUAUUAUACUUUUUCUCAGUUUUGUAGUUUUAUAUAAUGGAUAGGUUAAGACUUACAGGUUAUAGGUAUAUAGGUUACGGUAGCUUUUCAUUACUUUUUUUUUUUUUUUUUUUGCUUUGGAUAAUUUAGGACUUCUGUUUCAGACACACUGACACAACAGUCCACAGUUUCACCAUUUUUUAAAAUCUCUUAUUUACCUAAACUUUUUGAAAAACUGAAGAUGCUAUCAGCCAGCCUGUGAUUCUGACAACAAUAGAACUAUUUUAGACUGUAAGCUUCUUGGAAAAGAGAUUAUAGAUUUGUAUGUGUUUAUUCAUUUUCUAGCACAUGGGCCCUCAAUCUUGCUAAGAGCCUGGGGACACUACAGCAACAUGAAAAUAAAAGAUUAUAACACAGACCUAUCAGGAAGUCUCCUGCUUUCAGCAACUAUAGCAUGGAUUAAAGACCUAUGCUUAUCAAUUUUGUACUUCAAACAUCAAAGAUAUUUAACAACAUGUUCAUUUCUUUGAAAAUGAACUGACACUCUGAUGAACCCUUUUGCCAUCUCUUCACACAUAAAUCCCUGAGCUACUACUCCCUUUUCAAAAAAGCUCUCACAUUUCCAAGAAGAGGAAUCAUCAGGUUCUUUGUGAAUCUAGAAUGGUUAUUAUUCUUAAUGGAUGUGUCCGUUUGCUGCUAUUUCAUUGUUUCAUGCAGAUCCAGUGAGUAAAGUGAUUCUUUACAAUAGUAACUGAAGGCUGUUUGGAUCAACCAUGACUGAAUAGAUGAUGGAGAAGAUUAUUGUGAAAGGUUUUUUUUAACGAUGUACAAUAUAUUAAAAAUGGAAAGAAGCUGA